rnacentral:rRNA from 1 species
UUACCAGAGUACUAUGAAUGUUUAAAAAUUUAAAACUCAAAGAACUUGGCGGUGUUUUAGACCACCCAGGGGAACCUGUCUCGUAAUCGAUAAUCCACGUUGUACCUGACCUCUUUUUGUUUUCAGUUUGUAUACCGUUGUCGUCAGGUAACUUUUUAGAAACUAGAAGUUAGCAAUUAAAAUGUUGGUAAUUUAAUAUGUCAAAUCAAGGUGCAGCUAAUAAAGAGGGGAGGAUGGGUUACAAUUAUAUAAUUCAUAAUGACGGAUAAGUAUAUGGAUAUGUGUUAAGUUAUAAGGAGGACUUGGAAGUAAAUUAGGAUAUAUAAAUAAUUUGAAUUAGGCUCUGAGACGUGU